rnacentral:rRNA from 1 species
UACAGAGGUCUCAAGCGUUGUUCGGAUUCAUUGGGCGUAAAGGGUGCGUAGGCGGCUUGUUGCGUCGGCUGUGAAAACCCAUGGCUCAACCGUGGGCUUGCAGCCGAUACGGGCAGGCUAGAGUUCGGUAGGGGAGACUGGAAUUCCUGGUGUAGCGGUGAAAUGCGCAGAUAUCAGGAGGAACACCGAUGGCGAAGGCAGCUCACUGGGACGGUACUGACGCUGAGACGCGAAAGCGUGGGGAGCAAACAGG